CCCUUAGAUGUUCUGGGCCGCACACGCGCUACACUGAAGGAGGCAGCGUGUACUCCUGGAUCGAAAGAUUUGGGUAACCCGCGAAUCUCCUUCGUGCUAGGGAUUGAGGUUUGCAAUUAUCCUUCAUGAACGAGGAAUUCCCAGUAAGUGCAAGUCAUAAGCUUGCGCUGACUACGUCCCUGCCCUUUGUACACACCGCCCGUCGCUACUACCGAUUGGAUGGUCCGGUGAAAUCUUCGGAUAGCUGGUAGUUGGCUUGCCAUCUACUGCUAAAAGUUGCUUAAACCUUAUCAUCUAGAGGAACAAGAAGUCGUAACA
rnacentral:rRNA from 1 species